rnacentral:lncRNA from 1 species
AAAUCAAAGAACUGAUUAGGACCAUAGCCGGAAUGAAGCCCCUCUUUGAACUGUUCCCAAGUGAUAACCCCCAUCUCUUGUUUAAGCAAUUGGUACCAAAGUUGUGCCUCACCUUCAAGAUGAAAAGAUGCUAGAGAGACUCGAUCGGCACUUGGUAUCUCAUGAAUUUGAAAGAAUUGUUCAGCUCUACACACCCAACUCGUCAGGUCUUCUGCUCCAUUGAAGCAGGGAAAGUCUAACCUCACUGUUUU